UACGGAAGGCAGCAGUGGGGAAUAUUGGACAAUGGGCGAAAGCCUGAUCCAGCCAUGCCGCAUGAGUGAAGAAGGCCUUCGGGUUGUAAAGCUCUUUUAGUGAGAAAGAUAAUGACGGUACUCACAGAAGAAGUCCUGGCUAACUCCGUGCCAGCAGCCGCGGUAAUACGGAGAGGGCUAGCGUUAUUCGGAAUUAUUGGGCGUAAAGAGCGCGUAGGCUGAUUAGUAGGUUAAAAGUGAAAUCCCAAAGCUUAACUUUGGAAUUGCUUUUUAAAACUGCUAGUCUAGAGAUUGAAAGAGGAUAGAGGAAUUCCUAGUGUAGAGGUGAAAUUCGUAAAUAUUAGGAGGAACACCAGUGGCGAAGGCGUCUAUCUGGUUCAAAUCUGACGCUGAGGCGCGAAGGGCGUGGGGAGCAAACAGGGAUUAGAUACC
rnacentral:rRNA from 1 species